UAAAUUUCCUAAAUGAGUCUUGACCUUGAAUAUUAAAGUUGAAGAACUUUGAUUUAAUUAAUGACAAUGACUAGCUUAAGAUAUAGAAGACAUUUAAAUUUUUGAAAAGAGCUCGUGUUUAUUGAAGAAUCAUACUGGUAAGCUGCCAGUUUUCAUUUACUAAAAUGUGUCAGGAAAAUAUAAAAUGAUAUUUUUAAAACUUUAUUUGCUAAUUCAUCACUAGUGUAACUUUCCUUUUAAAAUUAGGGAGAUGGUGACAAAGGAAGUUAUCAUUUGAAAUGAGUUAAAUCACUGAAAUGUUGAAAAACUUUUUUGCAGAACUUUUGUUUUUAUUAACUUCACUUUAAGAUAGUAAAAAAUACUAUAAAGCUGUCAAAACCGAGUUUAUCAGUAACC
rnacentral:lncRNA from 1 species